AUGGAAGAAAUGGAAUGGAAGACUUGUAUUGAAAAUGUGGAACAUGAUGUGAAAAGCCACCUCAAGGCAUUUCAGCAAAACCUGAAGCUCUUGAGGGAAAAAGAAGAGGACACUAGAAGAGAACGGGCAGACCUGCUGACUGAACUGCAGUGCUCUCAGAACACUGAAGACUUUCUCAGAACAAAAGUGGAAGAAUCUCACCAUAGUGUCUAUAGUUUAAAAUUAUCUGAAAUCAAACUACAGGAAAAAGUGGAAGAGCUUUUAGAUGAAAACAGAACUUUAAAAGAUCAAGGUACUGUGAAGUUGAAAAAGAAGAAAGAAAAAGAACUUACAAGAUUGGUGGAUGGAGACAAUAGUCUUAACCUGAAUGGAGAUCCAGUUCAGGAUGAAGUUCAGAAUCUGAAAUGGAGAGCAGUCUUGGAUUCACUCAGAAGCAGAGCUACUCAAACUCCAGUUGUGCUGCUACAUGAUAAAGAGUCUGAAACACCAGCCUGUAGUUGUGAUGGACUAAAGCAUACGGAGGAGCAACCAGAAGAACUUGUGCCAGUUUUGGAAUGCAGUUCUAGUGCUGUUGCAAAAGUUGCUGGUCUAGCUGAGACUGAGCAGGUCACCCUUGGACCACAGAGGGCAAAUACUCUAGAGGAUAGUUUCACUUUGCUCACGUGUAUGCCAAGUCAUCAUGCAGCAGGACUGCUUCCCCCUUGUCCUGAGAAGUUACCCAGUGAUGAGACAAAUAAGGAGACCAAAGAUGAAGAAACCUUUUCUCUCUUGAAGGAACACGCUAUAACUCUAACAGUGAAGACAUUCCCUGCUUCUGUGAUUGAAAUCUUAAUGAGAAAGAACCUCCAACUGAUCUUGUUUGAACACGGAAGAUGUCACAUAACAGCUUUCACCACUGAGAAGAAAGUGAAGAGUUUGAGUUUCUGUGAGACAAAUACUGAUCUUUGGUCUGAUGGUCUUUGCAUUGUUGCAAAAGGAGGAUUUUAUGACAGAGCUACUGAACUUCUUCAUGGAAAGUUGCCUUUUACUGUGGCUGAAGUUUUCACAUCAUCUCUAGAAGAAUGCUACAUGGAAAACCAUUGGGGAAACAAGCAAAUUCUGCCAGAAAGUGUAAGUGAAAACAAAUGUCUGGAUAAAGAUGUUGAUGAUGAUAAGUAUCACCAAAAAAUUUUUACAGGGGGAGCUAAAAGAGAAGAAAUACAGAAUGAUAAAGCCCAACAGCUGCAGGUGACCUGUGAUCUUGAGGGAAGUUCUAAAGUUUCCUACAAAACUAAAUUCUGUCCUGGGAAGCAAGGAGUGGAAGCCAAGGAGAGUCUCCAUAGCACGCAGGGUGCCCAAAAUUUAUCUAUUGAUUUUAAAGAUUUUAAAAAGUGUUUUGAAGGGAGUCCCAAACAAAUGGCGAAGAAAGAAAAUAUUUCUGAAAACUGCAUCCCUGAUGUGAAUAGCAGAUGUGAUGGAGAGGACGUAAUUGAAAUAGAAGAGAAAGGAAAACAGGCUCAGAAACCAAGUCGCCAAACAAGCCCCUCUAGCAAUAUUGGCCUUAAAAAAAGGAAAGACCAGACCUUGAAACAAUGUGAACCAAAUGAGAAUGUCAAAAAAUAG
ensembl:lncRNA